AUACGUAGGUGGCAAGCGUUGUCCGGAUUUACUGGGUGUAAAGGGCGUGUAGGCGGAGAUGCAAGUCAGGAGUGAAAUCUAGGGGCUCAACCCCUAAACUGCUUUUGAAACUGUAUCCCUUGAGUAUCGGAGAGGCAGGCGGAAUUCCUAGUGUAGCGGUGAAAUGCGUAGAUAUUAGGAGGAACACCAGUGGCGAAGGCGGUUUGCGGGCUGCAUACUGACGCUGAAGCGCGAAAGACAGGGGGGCAAACGGGAUUAGAUACCCCGGUGGUCCUGGCAGUAAACGAUGUAUGCUGGGUGUGAGACUAGCGAUAGUUUCGUGCCGAAGUUAACGCGAUAAGCAUACCGCGUGGGGAGUACGGUCGCAAGAUUGAAACUUAAAGGCAUUGACGGGG
rnacentral:rRNA from 1 species